rnacentral:rRNA from 1 species
GACGAACGCUGGCGGCGUGCCUAACACAUGCAAGUCGAGCGAUGAAGCCCUUCGGGGUGGAUUAGCGGCGGACGGGUGAGUAACACGUGGGUAACCUGCCUCAAAGAGGGGGAUAGCCUCCCGAAAGGGAGAUUAAUACCGCAUAACAUUGGUUUUUCGCAUGGAGAACCAAUUAAAGGAGUAAUCCGCUUUGAGAUGGACCCGCGGCGCAUUAGCUAGUUGGUGAGGUAACUGCUCACCAAGGCGACGAUGCGUAGCCGACCUGAGAGGGUGAUCGGCCACAUUGGAACUGAGACACGGUCCAGACUCCUACGGGAGGCAGAAGUGGGGAAUAUUGCACAAUGGGCGAAAGCCUGAUGCAGCAACGCCGCGUGAGUGAUGAAGGCCUUCGGGUUGUAAAGCUCUGUCUUUGGGGACGAUAAUGACGGUACCCAAGGGGGAAGCCACGGCUAACUACGUGCCAGCAGCCGCAGUAA